UUACCAGGUCUUGACAUCCCGAUGCUAUUCUAGAGAUAGAAAGUUACUUCGGUACAUCGGUGACAGGUGGUGGCAUGGUUGUCGUCAGCUCGUGUCGUGAGAUGUUGGUUAAGUCCCGCAACGAGCGCAACCCCUAUUGUUAGUUGCCAUCAUUCAGUUGGGCACUCUAGCGAGACUGCCGGUAAUAAACCGGAGGAAGGUGGGGAUGACGUCAAAUCAUCAUGCCCCUUAUGACCUGGGCUACACACGUGCUACAAUGGUUGGUACAACGAGUUGCGAGUCGGUGACGGCGAGCUAAUCUCUUAAAGCCAAUCUCAGUUCGGAUUGUAGGCUGCAACUCGCCUACAUGAAGUCGGAAUCGCUAGUAAUCGCGGAUCAGCACGCCGCGGUGAAUACGUUCCCGGGCCUU
rnacentral:rRNA from 1 species